rnacentral:rRNA from 1 species
CCUACGGGAGGCAGCAGUGGGGAAUAUUGGGCACUGGGCGCAAGCCUGACCCAGCAACGCCGCGUGAAGGAAGAAGGCUUUCGGGUUGUAAACUUCUUUUAAGAGGGAAGAGCAGAAGACGGUACCUCUUGAAUAAGCCACGGCUAACUACGUGCCAGCAGCCGCGGUAAUACGUAGGUGGCAAGCGUUGUCCGGAUUUACUGGGGGUAAAGGGCGUGCAGCCGGGAAGACAAGUCAGAUGUGAAAUCCCGCGGCUCAACCGCGGAACUGCAUUUGAAACUGUUUUUCUUGAGUACCGGGGAGGUCAUCGGAAUUCCUUGUGUAGCGGUGAAAUGCGUAGAUAUAAGGAAGAACACCAGUGGCGAAGGCGGAUGACUGGACGGCAACUGACGGUGAGGCGCGAAAGCGUGGGGAGCAAACAGGAUUAGAUACACUAGUAGUC